rnacentral:rRNA from 1 species
UGAGGAAUAUUGGUCAAUGGGCGCAAGCCUGAACCAGCCAUCCCGCGUGCAGGAAGACGGCCCUAUGGGUUGUAAACUGCUUUUGUCAGGGAAUAAACCCCCGCUCGUGGGCGGGGCUGAAGGUACCUGAAGAAUAAGCAUCGGCUAACUCCGUGCCAGCAGCCGCGGUAAUACGGAGGAUGCAAGCGUUAUCCGGAUUCAUUGGGUUUAAAGGGUGCGCAGGCGGAUUGGUAAGUCAGGGGUGAAAUCCCACAGCUCAACUGUGGAACUGCCUUUGAUACUGUCAGUCUAGAGUAUAGUUGAAGUGGGCAGAAUGUGUCAUGUAGUGGUGAAAUGCUUAGAUAUGACACAGAACACCGAUCGCGAAGGCAGCUCGCUAAGCUAUAACUGACGCUCAUGCACGAAAGCGUGGGGAUCAAA